GGCAAAGGGACCGCCAAAUAUUGACAAGUGGGAGCGGAAAAAAUGGAACUUGCUCCCGGAUGUUAGCGGCGGACCGGUGAGUAACACGUGGGUAACCUGCCUGUAAGACUGGGAUAACUCCGGGAAACCGGAGCUAAUACCGGAUAGUUCCUUGAACCGCAUGGUUCAAGGAUGAAAGACGGUUUCGGCUGUCACUUACAGAUGGACCCGCGGCGCAUUAGCUAGUUGGUGAGGUAACGGCUCACCAAGGCGACGAUGCGUAGCCGACCUGAGAGGGUGAUCGGCCACACUGGGACUGAGACACGGCCCAGACUCCUACGGGAGGCAGCAGUAGGGAAUCUUCCGCAAUGGACGAAAGUCUGACGGAGCAACGCCGCGUGAGUGAUGAAGGUUUUCGGAUCGUAAAGCUCUGUUGUUAGGGAAGAACAAGUGCAAGAGUAACUGCUUGCACCUUGACGGUACCUGACCACAAG
rnacentral:rRNA from 1 species